UUUUUUAUGAAUACAUUAUUUUUGUUUUUAAUCCCACCUUAUUAGCAUUUAAUUGAAUUAAAUUGAUUGAUAUUUUAUGGGAGUCUUCACUUCUUAGAGAAGUUUUUAUAUUAAUUAUUGGCUUAUUACUGGCUUAUUUUAGAAAUUUCCUUAUAUAAAAUCAAAAUAUGAUUCAUUUAUUCCGUGUAUAUAUAUAAGGUCUAUAACAUAAAAUAAAUCACAUUUUUCUAUCCUCAUUUUCUCCUCUCUUUUUUCCUCUAAUACUCACUAAUUUUUCUAUCUAUUGUCCCUUUUAUUUUAUUUUUAANNNNNNNNNNNNNNNAUCAAUAAUUUUUUUGACGGAUUUGUUCAACUUUUCUUAUGUUUCUUUUUUGCCUGAUUUUUUAUGUUUCUUUUUUAUUAUUUAGAUUAUUUUAUUUUGAUGUUUAUCAUUUUUUUUAUUAAUCAGUUUUUUGUUUUCGACAGGGAAUUCAAUUGAAAGACGGGAAGAAAUGCAUCACAUUCUCACAAAAUGAAAGUUGGAAU
rnacentral:lncRNA from 1 species